CAGCAGCCGCGGUAAUACGUAGGGGGCAAGCGUUAUCCGGAUUUACUGGGUGUAAAGGGAGCGUAGACGGCAUGGCAAGCCAGAUGUGAAAGCCCGGGGCUCAACCCCGGGACUGCUUUUGAAACUGCAGGGCUAGAGUGCAGGAGGGGCAAGUGGAAUUCCUAGUGUAGCGGUGAAAUGCGUAGAUAUUAGGAGGAACACCAGUGGCGAAGGCGGCUUGCUGGACUGUAACUGACACUGAGGCUCGAAAGCGUGGGGAGCAAACAGGAUUAGAUACCCUGGUAGUCCACGCCGUAAACGAUGGGCGCUAGGUGUGGGUUCCUUCCACGGAAUCCGUGCCGUAGCUAACGCAUUAAGCGCCCCGCCUGGGGAGU
rnacentral:rRNA from 1 species